AUUGAACGCUGGCGGCAGGCCUAACACAUGCAAGUCGAGCGGAGCGGCGGACGGGUGAGUAAUGCCUAGGAAUCUGCCUGGUAGUGGGGGAUAACGUCCGGAAACGGGCGCUAAUACCGCAUCCUAUCAGAUGAGCCUAGGUCGGAUGAACUAGUUGGUGGGGGAAAUGCCUACCAAGGCGACGAUCCGUAACUGGUCUGAGAGGAUGAUCAGUCAAACGGGAACUGAGACACGGGCCAGACUCCUAAGGGAGGCAGCAGUGGGGAAUAUUGGACAAUGGGGGAAAGCCUGAUCCAGCCAUGACGCGUGUGUGAAGAAGGUCUUCGGAGUGGAAAGCACUUUAAGGUGGGAGGCGGUACCAACAGAAGAAGCACCGGCUAACUUCGUGCCAGCAGCCGCGGUAAUAC
rnacentral:rRNA from 1 species